rnacentral:rRNA from 1 species
AUACGGAGGGGGCUAGCGUUGUUCGGAAUUACUGGGCGUAAAGCGUACGUAGGCGGACUGAUCAGUUGGGGGUGAAAUCCCAGGGCUUAACCCUGGAACUGCCUUCAAUACUGUCAGUCUUGAGUAUGGGAGAGGUGAGUGGAAUUCCUAGUGUAGAGGCGAAAUUCAUAGAUAUUAGGAGGAACACCAGUGGCGAAGGCGGCUCACUGGCCCAUUACUGACGCUGAGGUACGAAAGCGUGGGGAGCAAACAGGAUUAGAAACCCUAGUAGUCC